CAGUUUCCGAAUGUACAGAGGGAGGAAAGGGCCUCAUCUCCCUGAAAUCUCCUCCUGGGCCCCUGACUCGAAGAAUAAGUCUACUAUAGGAAAAAACCAGAAGCCACUGAAAUACUCUUCCUCAGAAAUGAAAAGUAAGUUUUAUUUCAAACCUAUCAGAUCCAUGUUCUAGAGAAUGUUAAACUCUACAGAUCCAUCUCAGAAUCAAAGGACCAUAUUCAUAUUGACAGUUAAGCUCUUAUAAUGGAAGUAACCUCAUUCAACUCUUCUUAGAAGUAAAUGAUGGACAAGUAGAUAAUCUUUGGCAAUCCUUUCCAGUUUUGUUUACACAUAGGUUUCUUUUUCCCCCUGAAGAACUAACAAGAAAAAGCCAGAUUCAAUUACUAUGAUUUGGCAGCUUGAAACAACAAACUGGUUUUUCCUGCUCCUGAGCUGAAAUUUCAAUUAAAUAGUUUUAAAAGCUAUGAUGGCAUAGGAACAAAAUAUUUG
rnacentral:lncRNA from 10 species